UGUGUCUCCUAGCAACCGAUGAAGGCUCUAGUUCAGACAUGGAAAUAUACAAACAGAAGUGAAGCAGGAGGAAAGGAGACAGGCAUUUAAGCUGUUCAGUGUAGAAAGACAGAAGGUGCUCGAUUCUGUUGCCUUUGGCAGACGAGCACUACCGCCUCCUACAGGAAGAAAAGUGAACAACUCGCUCACAAAACCAGAAGGUCAGCAUGUCUCAAAAAAGAGGUGUACAGAUCAUUCUGAUGAUCGAGAAAACCCAUCAGUGGCCAAAUCCAUCAUACAGUUCUCCAUAAUGAACUGGAACGGUACAAGCAUGUCUCUGUGGAACCAUCUAGACGACU